AGUGAACGCUGGCGGUAGGCCUAACACAUGCAAGUCGAACGGCAGCACAGGAGAGCUUGCUCUCUGGGUGGCGAGUGGCGGACGGGUGAGGAAUACAUCGGAAUCUACUCUGUCGUGGGGGAUAACGUAGGGAAACUUACGCUAAUACCGCAUACGACCUACGGGUGAAAGCAGGGGAUCUUCGGACCUUGCGCGAUUGAAUGAGCCGAUGUCGGAUUAGCUAGUUGGCGGGGUAAAGGCCCACCAAGGCGACGAUCCGUAGCUGGUCUGAGAGGAUAAUCGGCCACACUGGAACUGAGACACGGUCCAGACUCCUACGGGAGGCAGCAGUGGGAAUAUUGGACAAAGGGCGCAAGCCUGAUCCAGCCAUACCGCGUGGGUGAAGAAGGCCUUCGGGUUGUAAAGCCCUUUUGUUGGGAAAGAAAUCCAGCUGGCUAAUACCCGGUUGGGAUGACGGUACCCAAAGAAUAAGCACCGGCUAACUUCGUGCCAGCCGCCGCGGUAA
rnacentral:rRNA from 1 species